GCAAUUUCCAGCAGUGCUAUAUCUAAGGCUGUAUCUGGGGCCAGUGCAGGGGAUUACAGUGAUGCCAUUGAGACCCUGCUUACAGCCAUUGCUGUAAUUAAACAGUCCCGUGUAGCAAAUGAUGAGCGGUGUCGGGUCCUUAUCUCUUCACUUAAGGAUUGCCUUCAUGGCAUUGAAGCCAAGUCUUACAGCAUGGGCACUGGCAGCAGCAGCAGUUCCUCAAGAAAAAGACAUCGGUCACGGGAUAGGUCACCUAGUCGGUCACGUGAGAGCAGUAGGAGGCACCGAGAGGUGGUUCAUAAUGAAGAUCGACAUGAGGACUAUUUCCAAGAAAGAAGCCGGGAGCACGAGAGACACAGAGACAGGGACAGAGAAAGAGAUCGGCAUCAUUGAGAGAAGUGAGAACAUUUUUGAGAUAGGGCAAGGGAG
rnacentral:lncRNA from 1 species